rnacentral:lncRNA from 1 species
UUUAAGAACUUCAGUAAUAACUAAAGUUUUAUCAUCUUUUGAUUUUUAAGAUAAGUGUCAUUGGCUAGCAGUUGAGAUUGCUCUGUCAUGGAACUGACUUUUGCAUGUAGGCUGGUUUUAUGUUGAUUACUUUUGAUAUUUGUUUUGUGAAAACCCUUUACAUUUGUUGGAUUUUAUAUUCUUUGUGGGCUGAGGCAGAUACUUUUAUAGCCAGGACGAGUGGAGAGGCGGUGAGGGUGUGAAGGGAAGGCAGCCAUCUUGGAUUCUGGUCACUUUCCCGUUGCCCGGCUGUGUGACUUGUGCCCAAUACCACAUCAGCUGGUGCAGGUGCUGACACUCGGCGUCAGACUUGGGUGCCCAGCCCAUGGUCUUUUCUCUGGGACCCUUGAUUGACCUUCUAGGGUUCCGAGCAGGUUUUGUUCUGGUGGUGCUGGAGACGACUUCUUGGCCUUUGGUUAGGAUGGUUGAUAUGU